GACGAACGCUGGCGGCGUGCCUAAUACAUGCAAGUCGAACGCAGUGGGGACGGGUGAGUAACACGUGGGUAAACUCCCAUCAGAGGGGAUAACACUUGGAAACAGGUGCUAAACCGAUACUGAUGGAUGAACCAGCGGUGCAUUAGCUAGUUGGUGAGGUAACGGCUCACCAAGGCCACGAUGCAUAGACGAGCUGUGAGGUUGUUCGGCCACACUGGGACUGUGACACGACCCAGACUCGUCCGUGAGGCAGCAGUAGGGAAUCGGCGGCAAUGGACGAAAGUCUGACCGAGCAACGCCGCGUGAGUGAAGAAGGUUUUCGGAUCGUAAAACUCUGUGGUUAGAGAAGAGGUAUCUAACCAGAAAGCCACGGCUAACUCAGUGCCAGCAGCCGCGUUAAUUC
rnacentral:rRNA from 1 species